CCGCAUAGACCUGCUGGGGCGAGAUGUAGUGGACGUGGGUGUCCAUGCCGCCAGCGGUCAGGAUCAAAUGCUCGCCCGAGAUGGCGUCCGUGGACGCGCCCGUGACGAGGCCAGGCGUAACGCCGUCCAUGGUCGCAGGAUUGCCCGCCUUGCCGAGGCCGACGAUGCGGCCGUUCCGGAUGCCGACGUCGGCCUUCACGACGCCCAGCGUCGGCUCGAGCACGGUGACGUUGGUGAUGACGAGAUCGAGACAGCCAGCCUCCUGGGUCAGCUGGUUCUCGGAGCCCAUGCCGUCGCGCAG
rnacentral:sRNA from 1 species